AGAGUUCACUGGGUUGGAGGC
rnacentral:miRNA from 1 species